rnacentral:rRNA from 1 species
AUUGAACGCUGGCGGCAGGCCUAACACAUGCAAGUCGAGCGAGCGGCGGUCGGGUGAGUAAUGUCUGGGAAACUGCCUGAUGGCGGGGGAGAACCACUCGAACAGGUAGCUAAUACAGCAUACCAGCACAUGUGCCCAGAUGGGAUUAGCUAGUAGGUGGGGUACCGGCUCACCUAGGCGACGAUCCCUAGCUGGGCUGAGAGGAUGACCAGCCACACUGGAACUGAGACACGGUCCAGACUCCUACGGGAGGCAGCAGUGGGGAAUAUGGCACAAUGGGCGCAAGCCUGAUGCAGCCAUGCCGCGUGUGUGAAGAAGGCCUUCGGGUUGUAAAGCACUUUCAGCGGGGAGGCGUUACCCGCAGAAGAAGCACCGGCUAACGCCGUGCCAGCAGCCGCGGUAAUUC